rnacentral:misc_RNA from 1 species
GUGAAUCAUCAAAUUUUUGAACGCAAAUUGCGCCUUUUUCGGAAGGCAUGUCUGUUUGAGGGCGCCAUUUAACAAAUACUGUGCAUUUCGUGUGCACACGUUGAUGAGCUUUCCAAAAUUAUGUAUUAUUAUUUUUGGUAGCUCAUAAUAAACAGCGCUGUUCUUUUUUUCAGUUCGAGUUUCGUAG